GGAUGCGAUCAUACCAGCACUAAAGCACCGGAUCCCAUCAGAACUCCGAAGUUAAGCGUGCUUGGGCGAGAGUAGUACUAGGCUGGGUGACCUCCUGGGAAGUCCUCGUGUUGCAUUCCC
rnacentral:rRNA from 1 species